GUGGGCAUCUUUGUACCCCUAAUUCUACUCCGGACACUUGUCUAUUUUUACCUCACGUCUCACUCUUUUUCUUUCUUUUUCGAGGUUCCGGGCACUUGCCCCUUUUUAUUUCCUCGCAUAUUUUUGCAUAACCCAUGCAUCUUCUGCAUUGAAUCUUUACAGAGAGAGAAUAACAAUACUUGGGACAGUGAGUGAUAAUAUAUAUAUUUUUUUAGCAAUUUUAAUGAGUGAUGAUGAAUGGUGUAGUGGAUGUGUGCAAGUGAUUAUCUUAAUUUAACCACAUGAAAAGCUCUUAAGGGUCUACAU
rnacentral:lncRNA from 1 species